CUAGUUGGUGGGGUAAUAGCCUACCGAGGCAAUGAUCAGUAGCUGGUCUGAGAGGACAAUCAGCCACACUGGGACUGAGACACGGCCCAGACUCCUACGGGAGGCAGCAGUGAGGAAUUUUCCGCAAUGGGCGAAAGCCUGACGGAGCAAUGCCGCGUGGAGGAAGACGGCCCGUGGGUUGUAAACUCCUUUUCUUGGAGAAGAAUAACUGACGGUAUCCAAGGAAUAAGCAUCGGCUAACUCCGUGCCAGCAGCCGCGGUAAUACGGGGGAUGCAAGCGUUAUCCGGAUUCAUUGGGCGUAAAGGGUCCUGAGGUGGCCUGUUUAGUCUACUGUGAAAGCUCAGGGCUUAACCCUGACAAUGCGGUGGAAACUGGCAGGCUAGAAUACGGUAGGGGCAAGGGGAAUUCCCAGUGUAGCGGUGAAAUGCAUAGAUAUUGGGAGGAACACCAAAGGCGAAGGCACCUUGCUGGGCCGCUAUUGACACUGACAGACGAAAGCCAGGGGAGUAACCCGGAUUAGAUACCCGGCUAAUCCUGGCUGUAAACGAUGGACACUAAGUGUUGAACGAUUCAAACGUUCAGUGCUGCAGCUAACGCGUUAAGUGUCCCGCCUGGGGAGUAUGCUCGCAAGGGUGAAACUCAAAGGAAUUGACG
rnacentral:rRNA from 1 species